CGGGGAUUUCCGAAUGGGGAAACCCAGCACUCGUAAUGGAGUGUUACUCCGCACUGAAUCCAUAGGUGUGGAGAGGUAUACCAGGGGAACUGAAACAUCUAAGUACCCUGAGGAAAAGAAAACAACAGUGAUUCCCUAAGUAGCGGCGAGCGAACGGGGAGAAGCCUAAACCGCACAGCUUCGGCUGUACGGGGUUGCGGGGCGUCUCACUAGGUAGGCAGUUUGGGUAGGAGAACGGCCUGGAAAGGUCGACCGAAGAGAGUGAAAGUCUCGUAUCCGAAACCAAAACGCCGCCGAGACGGUUCCCCAAGUACCGCGGGACACGAGAAAUCCCGUGGGAAUCCAGCAGGACCACCUGCUAAGGCUAAAUACAACCUAGCGACCGAUAGUGAACCAGUACCGUGAGGGAAAGGUGAAAAGCACCGCGGGAGCGGAGUGAAAAAGAACCUGAAACCGUGUGCCUACAAUCAGUCGGAGGGCGUUAAUGCCUGACGGCGUGCCUUUUGUAGAAUGAACCGGCGAGGUACGAUCGCGGGCGAGGUUAAGGUGAGAAGCCGGAGCCGCAGCGAAAGCGCGUCUGAAGAGGGCGAGAGUUCGCGGUCGUAGACCCGAAACCGAGUGAUCUACGCCUGGACAGGUUGAAGUUGCAGUAAAAUGCAAUGGAGGACCGAACCCACGCACGUUGAAAAGUGCGGGGAUGAGCUGGGUGUAGCGGUGAAAUUCCAAUCGAACUCGGAGAUAGCUGGUUCUCCCCGAAAUAGCUUUAGGGCUAGCGUUGGAGUAAGAGUCAUGGAGGUAGAGCACUGAUUGGGCUAGGGGUCCUCCCCGGAUUACCGAACUCAGUCAAACUCCGAAUGCCAUCGACUUAUCUCCAGCAGUCAGACUACGAGUGCUAAGAUCCGUGGUCAAGAGGGAAACAGCCCAGACCAUCAGCUAAGGCCCCCAAGUUCUAGUUAAGUGGGAAACGAUGUGGCGGUGCACAGACAACCAGGAUGUUGGCUUAGAAGCAGCCACCAUUUAAAGAGUGCGUAAUAGCUCACUGGUCGAGUGACGCUGCGCGGAAAAUGUAACGGGGCUCAAACUAGACGCCGAAGCUAUGGAUGUCGAAAGACGUGGUAGGGGAGCGUUCCCUGCGGGUAGAAGUCAGACCGGAAGGACUGGUGGACUGCAGGGAAGUGAGAAUGC
rnacentral:rRNA from 1 species